rnacentral:rRNA from 1 species
UACAGAGGGUGCGAGCGUUAAUCGGAAUUACUGGGCGUAAAGCGCACGUAGUCGGCUUUGCAAGUCGGGUGUGAAAUCCCCGGGCUCAACCUGGGAACUGCAUCCGAGACUGCAUUGCUAGAGUAUGGGAGAGGGAAGCGGAAUUUCUGGUGUAGCAGUGAAAUGCGUAGAUAUCGUAAGGAAGACCAGUGGCGAAGGCGGGUCUCUGGACAGUUCCUGACGCUGAGGCACGAAGGUCAGGGGAGCAAACGGG